AACGUAGGUUCCGAGCGUUAUCCGGAUUUACUGGGCGUAAAGCGCGUUCAGGCGGUUUGGCAAGUCGGGCAUGAAAUCUCUCGGCUCAACCGGGAGAGGUUGUCCGAUACUGCUGGACUUGAGGGCAGUAGAGGGUGGUGGAAUUCCGGGUGUAGUGGUGAAAUGCGUAGAUAUCUGGAGGAACACCGGUGGCGAAGGCGGCAUCCUGGACCAACACUGACGCUGAGGAGCGAAAGCCAGGGGAGCAAACGGG
rnacentral:rRNA from 1 species